GAUGAACGCUAGCGGCAGGCCUAACACAUGCAAGUCGAGGGGCAUCGCGGUGCAGCAAUGCACUGGCGGCGACCGGCGUACGGGUGCGUAACGCGUAUGCAACCUGCCCCGCACCGGGGGAUAGCCCGCCGAAAGGCGGAUUAAUACCCCAUGGUCCCGGGGGCCCGCAUGGGCAUCCGGGUAAAGCCUUGGCGGUGCGGGAUGGGCAUGCGUGCCAUUAGCUGGCUGGUGGGGUAACGGCCCACCAGGGCAACGAUGGCUAGGGGGUCUGAGAGGAUGGUCCCCCACACUGGUACUGAGACACGGACCAGACUCCUACGGGAGGCAGCAGUGAGGAAUAUUGGUCAAUGGGCGGAAGCCUGAACCAGCCAUGCCGCGUGCGGGAUGAAGGCCCUACGGGUUGUAAACUGCUUUUCCCCGGGAAGAAUAACCCGAUGAGUCGGGGAUGCCGGUACCGGGGAAUAAGGAUCGGCUAACUCCGUG
rnacentral:rRNA from 1 species